UACGUAGGGGGCGAGCGUUGUCCGGAUUUAUUGGGCGUAAAGAGCGUGUAGGCGGCCAGGUAGGUCUGCUGUGAAAACUCGAGGCUCAACCUCGAGACGUCGGCGGAAACCAUCUGGCUAGAGUCCGGAAGAGGAGAGUGGAAUUCCUGGUGUAGCGGUGAAAUGCGCAGAUAUCAGGAGGAACACCGGUGGCGAAGGCGGUUCUCUGGGCAUUACCUGACGCUGAGGAGCGAAAGCAUGGGGAGCGAACAGG
rnacentral:rRNA from 1 species